GACGAAUGCUGGCGGCGUGCUUAACACAUGCAAGUCGAACGGAAAGGCCCUGCUUUUGUGGGGUGCUCGAGUGGCGAACGGGUGAGUAACACGUGAGUAACCUGCCCUUGACUUUGGGAUAACUUCAGGAAACUGGGGCUAAUACCGGAUAGGAGCUCCUGCUGCAUGGUGGGGGUUGGAAAGUUUCGGCGGUUGGGGAUGGACUCGCGGCUUAUCAGCUUGUUGGUGGGGUAGUGGCUUACCAAGGCUUUGACGGGUAGCCGGCCUGAGAGGGUGACCGGCCACAUUGGGACUGAGAUACGGCCCAGACUCCUACGGGAGGCAGCAGUGGGGAAUAUUGCACAAUGGGCGGAAGCCCGAUGCAGCAACGCCGCGUGCGGGAUGACGGCCUUCGGGUUGUAAACCGCUUUCGCCUGUGACGAAGCGUGAGUGACGGUAAUGGGUAAAGAAGCACCGGCUAACUACGUGCCAGCAGCCGCGGUGAUACGUAGGGUGCGAGCGUUGUCCGGAUUUAUUGGGCGUAAAGGGCUCGUAGGUGGUUGAUCGCGUCGGAAGUGUAAUCUUGGGGCUUAACCCUGAGCGUGCUUUCGAUACGGGUUGACUUGAGGAAGGUAGGGGAGAAUGGAAUUCCUGGUGGAGCGGUGGAAUGCGCAGAUAUCAGGAGGAACACCAGUGGCGAAGGCGGUUCUCUGGGCCUUUCCUGACGCUGAGGAGCGAAAGCGUGGGGAGCGAACAGGCUUAGAUACCCUGGUAGUCCACGCUGUAAACGGUGGCUACUAGGUGUGGGGUCCAUUCCACGGGUUCCGUGCCGUAGCUAACGCUUUAAGUACCCCGCCUGGGGAGUACGGCCGCAAGGCUAAAACUCAAAGGAAUUGACGGGGCCCCGCACAAGCGGCGGAGCAUGCGGAUUAAUUCGAUGCAACGCGUAGAACCUUACCUGGGUUUGACAUGGAUCGGGAGUGCUCAGAGAUGGGUGUGCCUCUUUUGGGGUCGGUUCACAGGUGGUGCAUGCCUGUCGUCAGCUCGUGUCGUGAGAUGUUGGGUUAAGUCCCGCAACGAGCGCAACCCUUGUUCACUGUUGCCAGCACGUUAUGGUGGGGACUCAGUGGAGACCGCCGGGGUCAACUCGGAGGAAGGUGGGGAUGACGUCAAGUCAUCAUGCCCCUUAUGUCCAGGGCUUCACGCAUGCUACAAUGGCUGGUACAGAGAGUGGCGAGCCUGUGAGGGUGAGCGAAUCUCGGAAAGCCGGUCUCAGUUCGGAUUGGGGUCUGCAACUCGACCUCAUGAAGUCGGAGUCGCUAGUAAUCGCAGAUCAGCAACGCUGCGGUGAAUACGUUCCCGGG
rnacentral:rRNA from 1 species